rnacentral:rRNA from 1 species
GAUGAACGCUGGCGGCGUGCCUAAUACAUGCAAGUCGAACGGACAGACGCGGAGCUUGCUCCUCUGACGUUAGCGGCGGACGGGUGAGUAACACGUGGAUAACCUACCUAUAUGACUGGGAUAACUUCGGGAAACCGGAGCAAAUACCGGAUAAUCUCUUGCACCGCAUGGUUCAAUAGUGAAAGACGGUUUUGCUGUCACUUAUAGCUGGAUCCGGGCCGCAUUAGCUAGUUGGUAAGGUCACGGCUUAUCAAGGCAACUAUGCGUAGACGAACUGAGAGGGUGAUCGGCCACCCGGGAACGGGGCCACGGUCCUGAGGCCUACGGGAGGCAGCAGUAGGGAACCGUACGCAAUGGUCGGAAGCAUGACGGAGUAAGGGGGCGUGAGUGAUGAAGGCCUUCGGUUCGUAAAAACGGGUUACGGGGGAAGAACAACUUUGUAAGGAACCGAGGACGGAUUGACGGUACCGGAUCAGAAAGCCCCGGCUAACUACGUG